GCUUUGUACUACGAGAGCAAAAUUGUCCAUCGAUUUCACUUUUUUUCUACCAAGUUGAUGUGAUGCACACGUAUAUUUUAUAUUCUAAUGCAUGUUUUUGUUACAGUUACUCAUAUUUAUGAUGCUAUAUAUACCUUGAAGAUGUUCAAAGCACUUUGUAGAUAUAGGAGUAAACAAAUGAUGAGAAAAGUUACCGUAGGCAAAACCGUCCUGUUAGCCAGUUGGAAAUCAUCGCUUCGAAAAUCGCGACUUCCGGAUAGCGUACAGAAUAGUAUCUACACUGUG
rnacentral:lncRNA from 1 species